AUUGAACGCUAGCGGGAUGCCUUACACAUGCAAGUCGAACGGAGUGGCGAACGGGUGAGUAAUGUAUCUGACCGUGCCCAGUAGCGGGGGAUAACUACGCGAAAGCGUAGCUAAUUCCGCAUACUAUUGGAGCAGCCUAUAUCGGAUUAGCUAGUGGGUGGGGUAACGGCUCACCAAGGCUACGCUCCUUAGCUGGUUUGCGAGGACGACCAGCCACACUGGGACUGAGACACGGCCCAGACUCCUACGGGAGGCAGCAGUGGGGAAUGUUUGACAAGUGGGGAAACCCUGAUCCAGACAUCCCGCGUGUGCGAUGAGGUCCUUCGGGUUGUAAAGCACUUUUGGAAGGAAAGCGGUACCUGCAGAAUAAGCAACGGCUAACUACGUGCCAGCAGCCGCGGUAAUUC
rnacentral:rRNA from 1 species